rnacentral:rRNA from 1 species
AUGAACGCUGGCGGUGUGCCUUAAGCAUGCAAGUCGAACGGAGAGAUGAGUUUCGCAAGAAAUUUGUCAAUCAGUGGCGGACGGGUGAGUAUAAGCAGGGAACGCACCCAGAACUAUCGCAUAGCUCGUCGAAAGACGGGGUAAUACGGUAUGUGAUCGCAAGAUUAAAGUCGCAAGACGGUUCUGGAACGGCCCUGUUCCCAUCAGCUUGUUGGUAGGGUAAUGGCCUACCAAGGCUACGACGGGUAGGGGGUGUGAGAGCACGACCCCCCACAAUGGCACUGAGACACGGGCCAUACAUCUACGGAUGGCAGCAACUGGGAAUAUUCGGCAAUGGGCGAAAGCCUGACCGAGCGACACCGCGUGAGGGAUGAAGUAUUUCGGUAUGUAAACCUCUUUUAUAUAGUCGUCGAGGCUAUAAGAAUAAGCACCUACAAACUACGU